UACGUAGGGGGCAAGCGUUGUCCGGAUUUAUUGGGCGUAAAGAGCGUGUAGGCGGCCUUGCAAGUCCGUUGUGAAAACUCCAGGCUCAACCUGGAGACGCCACCCGAUACUGCUGUGACUUGAGUCCGGUAGGGGACCACGGAAUUCCUGGUGUAGCGGUGAAAUGACGCAGAUAUCAGGAGGAACACCGGUGGCGAAGGCGGUGGUCUGGGCCGGCACUGACGCUGAGGAGCGAAAGCGUGGGGAGCGAACAGG
rnacentral:rRNA from 1 species